CCUACGGGUGGCAGCAGUGGGGAAUAUUGCACAAUGGGGGAAACUCUGAUGCAGCGACGCCGCGUGAAGGAAGAAGUAUUUCGGUAUGUAAACUUCUAUCAGCAGGGAAGAGAAUGACGGUAUCUGACUUAGAAGCCCCGGCUAACUACGUGCCAGCAGACGCGGGAAUACGUAGGGGGCAAGCGUUAUCCGGAUUUACUGGGUGUAAAGGGAGCGUAGGCGGUUAAGCAAGUCAGAAGUGAAAGCCCGGGGCUCAACUCCGGGACUGCUUUUGAAACUGUUGAACUAGAUUGCCGGAGAGGUAAGUGGAAUUCCUAGUGUAGCGGUGAAAUGCGUAGAUAUAAGGAGGAACACCAGCGGCGAAGGCGGCCUGCUGGACCGCGACUGACGUUGAGGCGCGAAAGCGUGGGGAGCGAACAGGAUUAGAUACCCGAGUAGUC
rnacentral:rRNA from 1 species